UAUGAAGAUAAGGUCUCAAUUUAUAUGACGUUAAAACAUUAGUAAACAAUACAAUUCUAAAUUAUGUGCUCUGUCAAAUACUGUUAUAUAAAAUGAAGCAAAGAAAGUAAUAAAGUAGGAAUAUUAUAUUAAAAAUCUCCAUCUCCUCAUGCAUAUGAAUUAAUAUCAUAUACACUUGAACUUCUCACAGUUGUCUGAUAAAGGAUUUUCCUUUUCUUGAUGGAAGGUGCAUUUCAGUUUCUCUUAAACAAAUCCAGUGUUUCACAUGUUGCCUCCAUGGUCAGUAGUAAUUUCUAAUUGAUCUGCUCUGGUAUAUAAUAAAUAAUAAUAUGCUCAUGAAAUCAAAAUACAAAUAUAGAUGCACCCUUCUUAUCUAUCUUCAGGUACAAACUUGAGAUUGACCAAACCUUAAAAUAAUGUUGUAUAUAUGUGUUAUCAUUUAACAAAAUUUUUAAAUGUAAUUGUGUUCCUUAAGGAUACUGGCAUGUACCAAUUGCCUCACAACUUGAAUAUGAAGAGGAAAGGACGUGGUUGUGCAUUAGGCGUGUCAAUUUACCUAUGGCAAAUCAAGAUUCUGCCAGUGCCUUUUAUAAAAAAUAUAAGUGCCUUUCUAUUCGUUUUCAGUUCUUUUAUUUUGUUGUAUGUGCUAUACUGUGUGAAAGAAUAGUUGGAGACUCUCUAAUCUGCGGAUUAAUUUUUUUUUAUAGAAGAAUAUCAGGCUUAAGGAAUAUGUCCUGUUCCAUUAAAGUUUCACUCUGUCUCAUGAAUGUUGGUAAACUUAAUAAAUUGUAUCCGUGGAGUGGUUCUUGAUUCUGAAUCUGCAUGUUCAAAUUUGUCUGAUUUAAUCUUGGAUUUGAUGUUGUUCUAUCCUUAAAAUUGUGGAGGAGAUCAUAGAAGUUUUGUCUUCUCCUGGUUAGACCUUGCCUAAAUACCUUAGAUUUCUAUUUCGUCAUAAUUGACUUAGGAAGGGUAGUUGAUAUAUUUUUAGUGGUAUUAAAAAGAAGAAGAAAAAAAUAUUAUAUAUAAAAUAUUUAAUAUUUUUUCAUUCUUCAAGUAGUUACACAAGGCAAACAGCUAAUCUAUCUCACCUAAAAUUUACAUAAUUAUGCUAUUCAACACUAAUUGCAAUUUAUUAUAAAUUUGUUGUUUUCAUUGUUGAUAAAGGAAAAGAUACAUUCUAGCACAAGAAACAUUCUCGCCGUGUCCUUGCCACAUAGUUAGAGAUAGAUUUUAUUAUUUUCUUAUCAAGAUCAACAGAGAAAGAAACAAACACAUGAAAAAGAGAAUCAGUGACGACUGUUGUACCUGUUGAGGUUGCGGUACCAUCUGAGGAACCAAAACAAGAUCAAGCACCUAAGCAAAACAAAUUUUAGCAAUUAAGGUAGUAUAAUAUACCAUUAUUUUUUCUCUUUUAUAUUACGAGGGUAAAUGUGAUGCAUAAAUUUUCAACUCCAAUAGUUAUUUGGAGAUGGGUAUCUAUUUUCUAGGUAAUAAACCAUCAUCAACUGACUAUAUUAUGACUUUCCAACAUUAUUGUGGUCUGUCCAUUAGUGAUUGGAACAGAGUACAAAAAUAGAGUAGGAAUUGUAUAAAAAGAUUCCAAGUAUUUUUGAACAAUUAUUAGGUUAUCUAAGAACUUUGAAAAAGUGACCUCUAAAAAUUCUGGCAGGAGACUUCCAGUAAAAAUGUUGAACCAAGAGAUUUUCAUUUCAUUUUGAAGAUAUGAUUCUUUGUUUGAUUGAUAGUUUUUGACAUUGUAGAGCUAUAGAGUAAUUAGUUGCUAGAGGAAUUGUAAAGAUAACUUCAAACUGCUAUUUGGAUGAUUUUAUAGUUAUGGGUAAUACUUUAGUACAACUCUAAGUCUAUUUGUUGUGCUUGAAAGAUCUUAGAUUACUGAUUCUUAUUCAAUUUGUAUGAAAUUUAUAGUUAUGGGUAAUACCUUCGUACAACUUUAAGUUUAGUUUUAAAAAAAAUGAGAUGCAAUUUCUAAAUUUUAUAAAUUACCUAAGUUGCUAAUUUGUCGAUAUUAACUUUUGGUUACAACUUUUAUUUGUAAUUUCCUAGAUGUCCUAUAAAAUAUAAUGUGGCUCUUCAAAGUAUUGACAAAAAAUGAGAUUAGUGAACAAGUCGAAUGAUGGUCAAGCACUUCCUGAUGAGUCUCAUGGCGUAGUAACAUAGUUUUUUUGUGGACGUUUGUUUGGUGAAGUAAUGUGAUGUUUUCUUCUAAAGUGAUGUAUCCGAUCGAUACAUCACGUAAAACAAGAAUUUUGUAAUUUUUCAAAUGGUAGAAAAAUUUUAAAAAUAUGAUAAAAUAAGUUGUGUAUCUAGAUAAUUUUUAAAAUAUUUUCAUAGUAAAAUAGAAAUUAUACUUGAUCAAAUGCAUAUGCCAACAUUGGCAGAACAUGCCGUUUUCAUGCAAGUAUCUGAAAUUAAGACGCAAUGUAUGGAAGCGUUUUUGGAUGUAUUCGAAUUCCAUCAAAUUUAAGAAAUUUUUAUAAUUUAAAAAAUAAUAGAGAUAAGAUGUAAUUAGUGCUUAACAUUACGAAAUUUGUGUAAAAUUUCUAAAAAAAUUAAGUAUGUUGGGCCUGUGCUUAGCACGGGCCAGUACCCAUCUAGUAGAUUUAUAGAUACCACAUCAACUGAGUCUCAAGGUGGAUGUAAUGUGCCGAUAAAAUUUGGGAUGAAAUUUGAUUCAGAUAAGCUCAUAUUUGAAUGCUAUGAAGAACACGCAACUUCAAUUGAUUUUAGUGUUAGAAAAUAAUAUGCUAAUAAAAACAGAAUCCCAGGGUAAGUGACUUAAAAAGAAUAUACAUGCAUGUUAUAAAGAAGGUUACAGAAACACAGAUAAAUGAGAUUUUAAGGUUCAAAAGCACAAAAAAGAAAACUAAGACAGGGUGCUUAACUCCUAUUAUUAUUAUUAGCCGUCCAUCGAAUGGACUGUUUCACAUCAGUUCAUUUGAAGAAAAACACAAUCAUCCUCUUGUUGAUUCUUUUUAGCUAAUCUAUUACCUGUCUCAAAGAAAGAAAAACGGUGUUCAAGCAUAUGAACUUGACUUAUUAGAUGAUUUAGGACUACGUCCUUGUCGCACCCUAUUUUCGAGCUAGCCGAAACAGUUCACAACAUAAUAUGACUGUCACUCUGAUUUUGAAAAUUGUUUAUUUUAGAGUCGCCACCUACUUUUAAGGAAAAUAUUAGGAAAUACGUUUUUAAUACGUAAAUGUAAAUUCUGUUUUAAUUUGCAAAAAAAAAGUGAGAUUCUAGGUAAGGAUUUUGGUUACUCGAGGGGAAGGUAUUAAGCAUCCCUCAGAGUCUAUCCGAAGAUAGUCCUUAAACUCAAUUUAGGAAAACUAAUUAGGAAAAGAUGUUCAUUUAUUUGCUUUAAAAAUAAGUAAAAUACAAGGUAUGACAUAUAUACGUCUAUAAAAUAAAUUUGAUAAUAGAAUUUUUAUCAUACAGUAAAAUAAAUAAAUAAAUGUAUCAAAUAUGUAUGACAAUUUUAUAUGCUGAAAAUAAAUAGAUAUACCAUAUUAAACUUAUCCUAAAAAUAUAUAGAUGUUGAAUUUAAGAGGUCUGAAAAUUUGUCGUUUUAUUUAUAUAUAGAAUUAAGAUGUAAAAGAAAAUAAAAUAAAAUAACAUAAUAGUUGGUUUUAAAUAUGUAGUAAUAUGUGUGAUAUAUAAUUUGAAUGAAAAAAAUGGAGUUUCCUAAAAAUAAAAAUAAAUAAUAAUGAUACUAAAUGUUAAAAUAUUAUAUAAAGUUUGUGAUCUUAAAUAUAUUUAUUAUGAAGUAUAAUAUGUACAUGUAGGUUGUUUAAAACAUAUGAACAUUUUUUUAAAAUUUAUGAUAAAUUGACGAUAGAUUAUAUGUAGUAAAAUAAUAUGUAUAUUAAAGUGUAUCAAAAUAAAAACAAAUAAAUAAUAUUCGUAAAAAGGGCGGUGAUAUGCGAAAAUAAUAUAGUAUGUAUUAAAAAUAAUGGGUCAUGCAUAGAGAAAACUAAAAAAUAAAAUAAAAUAUAUAUACCUUUGUGUGCAUGACAUAUAUGUACAUACCUUGAAUGUUUUUUUUUUUUUAAUCCAUUUAUAAAUCUGAAAUCUUGAAAUAACAUGUUAAGAGAUUAAAAUAUUUUAGCAACAUUUGAUUUUGAAAAAUAAGAAUACUGAUAAUAGCAAAUGUUUAUUUUUUCAUAAAGGGCUGACGUAAAGAAUAUAAAAUAGGACUAACUAUUGGUGUCCCAUCCCAAAUCAUUAAUUUUCUACAUUUAGUUUUAAAAAGGGUCUAAAAAUCGCCUAAUUAUUUCAAAGAUAAUGAAUUAGAACAUCUAAACAUUAACUAAAUAAUGCUAAAGUAACUCCUAUUAAUAAUCUAGAGAAAAUGAUCAAAAUGAUCCUUCAUGUAUAGGGGUUGAAUUAUUUUGGUCCUUCAUAUAUAUCAGUUUAUCUAAAUGGUCCUUAAUGUAUGUAUAAAGAGUAUCAAUUUAGUCCUAGACCUAAAAUCUAACUGAAAACAUAAAAAAAAAUUGUUAGAUUUAACAGAGGGUCACGCGAAAUUGACAGAUGACAGACCCUUCUUCCUCCAUCCACUUUCGUUCACCAUCAAGACUGUUCUUCCUCAAUCUGCUUUUGUUCACCAUCACCACUGCAGACCUUUCUCCUCAACUUCCUUCUUUCGUCAUUUGAGGUCCAUAAGAAAAAUAAUACACACUACACCCAUUUCAUUUCCAUCGAAAUAAAAUUUUCAAGCUUCCAUUAUCAUACAUAAAAAAGAAGAAGAAGAAAACCAAGAUCAUCAAAUAAAAGACUCCAUUUAUUCUCUCUUGUUGAAGCGAUCUAUGGGGAGUAUAUAGCUUUCUUUUCGUUUUAUCCUUUUCAAAAUUAGUAAUUUUUUCAAGCCAUUUUUUUCAUUCUAUUUUUAAAAUUUAAUGGUAAAAUUUUAACGGACAGAAAUAGAAAACAAAAACCUUACAAAUAUUUUUUGAAAUUUAAAGAAACUUUUGUGUGUGUGAGAGGAUUUUGGGAGCAGAAAUUGUAGAAGAAAUGGCAAAAGAAAGAAGGUGAAGGAGAAGCAAUGGUUGAAGAAAGAGGGAGGAAGAAGGGGCCCACCAAGUGUGGGACCCAACAAUUAAGUUUAACAGUUUCUUUAUGUUUUCAGUUAGAUUUUAGGUCUAGGACCAAAUUAAUAUUCUUUAUACAUACAUUAAGGACCAUUUAGAUAAAGUGAUAUAUAUAAAGGACCAAAAUAAUUUAAACCCUAUAUAUAAAGGACCAUUUUGAUCAUUUCUAAUAAUCUACUUAACUUAUGUAAUUCUAGGCAAGAGAUUUUGAUUGUCCUAAAGGGAAAGGAUAUGCAUCCUUUAAAGAAUUAUUUAAACAACUAUCAUCAAACUUAGGCUAAUAAAGAUAACAAAAUGAAUAAAUUUGUAUGAAUUAUUUUUUUCAUAAAGAAAAUACGCUAUCAGAUUUAUAAUAGCGUGAGGAGCGAUUGUGCAAAAACAGAUAUGAAAAUGAGUAGCAAUAAAUAUUUAUAAGUCAGAAAAAUAGUUUUAUUUUUGCAAAUUUAAACUCAAAAUAUUUUGUUCCUACUUAAAAAAAUAAGUUAAGCAUCCUUUAAGACUAAAAGUAAUAAUUCUAACAAAACUUAUAACAUUUGCUUUGGCCUUUUAAAAUAAUAUAUUUUUUUAAAGUACUAUUUUAAAAGAACCUUUGGACCCAACUAUUGCUCUAUUGAACUCUCAAAGUAUGCAUUUUAAGUUAUUAAACUUAAACUUUAAACACUUAAGUUUAAAAAAAAAAGAUCAGAAAAAUAGGUAAAUAACAUUUGAAAAACAUCACUCCAAGUUAAAGCCCUUUUUUUUUUUUGAAAAAAAGAGUUAUGCUUUUAUAAAUGAGAAAAUGUUAACGAAUAAUCUAAUUAGAAAGUAUCAUCUAAGUUAAAUAAUUAUUAAAUGUCUAAAGGGGUGUGAGCUAUCUAAAGGAUAUGAAAUAGGCCUAACUAAUGGGACUUAACUUAUAACUUACAUUUUUAUUUUUUGUUAAUAAAAUACAAGGGCCUACUUUCCUACUUGUUUUAGGUAUUUCUAAAGGUAAAUAUCUUAGCCUUAAAUAUAUUUCUAAAAGGCUAAUUAUUUUAGCCUUUGAACUAGUUUCAAGUUCAUUUGGGAGUCCUACACGAUGAGUUUCCCUUUUCCUCAACUUAAAGCCCUAAAUGAAUAUUAUUUUAGCCCUUAGAAACUUCAUUUGGUGGUUCUAAACUAUAAGUUCUAUUUUUUCUUGACUUAAGAGGCCUAAAUGAAUAUGUAUAAGUAAACUUAAGACGAUAACCUAUUUUUCAAAAGAAAAGAUAAGUUUUUUUUUUGUUCUAAAAGUGUUGCCAAAGGCGUAUAAUAUAAUUUCAAUCCGCUAACAAAUACUAUUAGCCCAUAUUAGAAUCUUCAAAAUAAAAGACAAGCAAUCUAAUAAAUCAAACAAAAAAAACUUAAGAGUUAUGCAGAUAUAAAUAAAGGUUAGUCAAUAUAUCCAAACAACAUAAUUUUAAGACAAUGAAAGAAAGGCUAAUAAACAUUGGACUCCUAAUUUGUGAGACUCCAAGUAUUGCGAUGAUCCAAAUUGUUGUUUUAUUAAUAUUUUAGGCCAAUAAUGAGUUCCAAAGUAGAAACUUCAGCCCUCCAAUUGUAAAUGAAACAUAAGAAGAGGAAAAGAGAUUAGGAACUAUUCAAACAACAAUUUCAAAUUCAAAACGGAAGACACAUUUUACAUAGCAUAUAUUUUACUGGAAAGUGUGACAAAGUCAAAAUUUGAAAAGGAUAUUUAAGAGGCUUGUUCUCUAUCUAUCUUUCUUAAGGCAUCGACAUGAAUAUUUUAGAAAGUUGUGAUGUAUAAACGAGGACUAAAUAUACAAGCUAGACCAUGCUUUAAAAAAAUAAACAUCAUACUUCAAGUAACUUAUUUGAGCUAAUAUAGAAUCAGGAACUGUAUGAGUACAUAUAAAAAAAACAUUGAUCAACUUCAAAAGAUAAGAAUUAACCAAUAAAGAUAUUGUUGACAGAGCUAAAGUCUCCUUCUUUGUCAUGGAUGCUUCACCAGAACUUCCAUUAAGGACAGUUAAGAUGGAGAGAAUAAGGGAGCUUUUAAAACGAGUCUCAACCCAACACCCUCAAGUCCAACACUCCUAUCUGGGCAAAAGAUGUUGAAACACGACUGACAAUUCUUUUCUUUGUAGCAAAUUAUUAUUUUCUGUUUUAAUGAGGUCUGUUGUUAUGAACCAACCUCGGCCCAACAUCAAUAUCUACACGAAUGUCACGCAACUAGUUAUUGGGCCGAGAAGAUGCAACAUAAACUGAAAGGCCUUCACAAAGGUUAAUUUGGGUCCAAGGCCCAAUUAACAAGUAGCUAAAAAGGAUGACGGAUGAGAAAGAAGGGUUUAUGUAAAUAGUUGAGAAAAAAAUGUCUAGUUCCCUUGUCCCCUUUCUUUGAGUCUUUGCUUCACAUCUCCCUUCUAGUUAUCUUCUACAAUAGUUUUCUUUGUUAGUUCAAUUUUUCGUUGUAACUUCAAGUUUAGUGAUUAUAAUAUUUGAAUGUUUCUAUUGUGAAAUUGAAGUUGUUACAUUGGUGCUUUCAUUUUCGUACUCUAAUGGCAGUGGUGGGUUUAGAUCGAUUCACUGGCACGGGUAAUCCAGAUGACUGGAUCUUUCGGGCCGAACGAUACUUCGCUUACCUUGGCUUCCCGGAGAAUGACUGGCUACCUCUUCCUUUCUCUAUCUUGACUGGUUCCGUUGGAUGUAUCGCAACAAGCAAUUUUGGGAUUGGAAGCAUUUCAAGGAAAAGUUAUCUUUGUGCUUUCGAGCACGAACCACCCCUGAGUCUGCAGUUGCACAUUCGCAAAUCACGACUAUUAUUACUUUGCUACACAAGGUGCAAGACAAUUUUUCAAUUAUGUCUAAGCAAUUUGACAGCAUCCAUAUCUCAACUUCCAGUAUUUCCAAUAUCACGGGCUUGUCACCAACAAUAGUUCAAGAGGCUGCAAUUGACAGUGCUACUACGAGGGUUAGCGAAGAGGUCGCCUCUGCUUUGGGUGAUGGACAAUCAAGAAUUGCAAAUAAUUUUGAGGUACAUACUGAGACGUUUGACACUCUGAUCGACACAAACCUCCUUUUAGCUGGGACAAAUUUUGUCAUGGGAGAUGACCACUCAGGCCAUGCAGACCAGGUGUUUGAUGAAAGUUCUCACCAGAUUGAAGACUCAGUCCAUGAAUUUGACAUGGCUUUUGACUUGGUAGCGGAUAAUUUAGUGGGGUUGCAAAUUCCUUUGCAGGCCACGACAUCUGUUGAGCCUCCCCUGGUCGAGGAAGAUGAAUGUCUCGAAACUAAAACAGACAUAGUGUUUGAUGGAAGUCUCCAGCGAGUUUGACCUACAAUGCCAAUUUGCAAAUUUGCAGCUUGUUGUGACAGACAAAUUUUUUUCUCAUGAGAUUUUGAUUUCUAAUUUUGAUGAACCAAUAGGAGUUGAUGGAUACAUCUCCCUUAUCCCUCAUGAUGACGUUGCUGCGAUUGCUGAGUUUUUUUCAUUCGUAUUCAAUCAGUCGUCAUUGGCUGAUUUUGGGGACCUAGCAAUGUGUGAGAGUGUGACAGAUGGCUUACCCACUUGUCAUUGGUUUGACACUGGGCAACAUGUUUCUCCGUUCAUUCCAUUCGUGUUCAGGCUUACGAAGUAUGGUCAUCAUGUAUCUGCAACAGAAUUUGAUAAGAAUGGUUAUCGUUCUAUUAUUGGGGCUCAAGGUAGCAGCAUCCUAAUUUUUGCCAUUAGGUGCUCAAGUUACUAUAGCAGCGGGGAUAACUCAAAAAUAGCUUGGGAAGGGGCUUCUCACAAUUGGUUUCUCAAGAUGUCACGCUACAUCCUAGCUAUGGAAUCAGGCAAUUCAAAGAUGAAACAACUAUUCGACACAAUGCCUGAUAAAGCUUACAAGGUAUUCAAUGUUAUGUGCACAUCGUUACUGGUUAGGGUGCUCGCUGAAACACCCAAAGAAACGGGUACUAUUCAACAAUUUCACUUUAAAGACAAAGCAUGUUUACUGAUUUCUUUUGGUGGUCAAGAAUCUAUAGUGUCGGCUGCACAUUCCACACACGCCCUACCCUUGAGGUAUUUUGAAGUCAACUCUCUUUAUAGUGUCUUAUCUAGACAGAAAAUUGAUUUGGUGGCAUCUAACAACAUAUAUGUUGACAUAAUUUUCAUGAAGUCCACAAUACUUGAGGAUGUUUCAAAGAGAGAAAUACAAUCGAAUGAUGUGAGGAAUGAUGUUAAACAUGAAAAUUUUAAUGAGGGAAUAAGACAUGAUGAAUGUCAAUUUCUAGUCGAUCCCGGUGAGAAUCUGUUCAUUGUUAAACUUGGUGGAACGAUGAAGGUUAAUUGUGUAUGGGAUCCAGGAAUCAGUUCCAAAAUUAUGCACCGAAAUGUCUUAUGGAAACCAUUGACACACACCUAUUGCUGGAAUUUAUUGUUACUAUUUCUCUACUUUUUAAUUACUUUUAUGAUGCUCACUUGAAAGGGAAUACUCAAUCUACAAAAAGGAGGAAGAUGACAGCAAAAGGACUCUCUGUAUUUCCUUAUAUUUGUCUAAGUUUGUCACAGGACAAUGGAUGGCAAGUUUUAGUUGAUGUAUGUGCGUUGGAAGCUAAGAACAUGCCUACGUUGAGUGUACAACCUUCAUCCCAAAUAGAACCACUUGGUGCAUGGGGUGAUAAAAAUUUAACUGUUGAAGGGAUAAUGGAGCAUCAAAAUGUGUCAAAAGACCAAUGUGCAUAUUGGUGUUUGAGAAUGAUAUAUAUUUCUACUGAUGAGAUUUCAUUUUGUGUUGAUACUAUUGUUUGUCCAAUGAACAAUAUUAAUUGCAUGCGUGCUUUCGAGUGCAUCUCUGUUACAGGUAUUGUGACUUGUAAAUGGUUCAAGGUUGUUCAACCUAUUGAGGUGGUUCAGGGAUACAAUGACAACCUACUAUUACCUGAGACAAUUCGUGCGGAGCGUGCUAUUUCCAUUGUUAUUGCCUUGAACCUUGAGGACAAAGUUCUUAUUGAGGAACGGAGUAUUGAUAUGAACCAACCUCGGCCCAACAUCAAUAUCUACACGAAUGUCGCGCAACUAGUUAUUGGGCCGAGAAGAUGCAACAUAACUGAAAGGCCUUCACAAAGGUUGAUUUGGGUCCAAGGCCCAAUUAACAAGUAGCUAAAAAGGAUGACGGAUGAGAAAGAAGGGUUUAUGCAAAUUGUUGAGAAAAAAAUGUCUAGUCCCCUCAUCCCCUUUCUUUGAGUCUAUAGUUAUCUUCUACAAUAGUUUUCUUUGUUAGUUCAAUUUUCCGUUGUAACUUCAAGUUUAGUGAUUAUAAUAUUUGGAUGUUUCUAUUGUGAAAUUGAAGUUGUUACAUCUGUUAAGAGUUUGUUAGCAAUAGGAAGAUGUUAGAAUAAUUACUUAAUGGUGUAUAUAUUGGGAACACUAUGCAGAUAUAUGAUUCAUUCAAAAAAUAGAAAGAAAGGGAUUUCCAUGAAUUUUGUUCUUCUUCUUUUAUGUUUCAUAUGUUGCAGCAGAUAAUGGCUAAAGUAUUUGUUAAAGUUGUUGACUAACUAGACAUAUGGUUCGAAUCAAACUUAAAGCACUCGAGCUGUCGAACGUACAGAAGCUAUCUAUCUACCUUAUACGGGGGAUAAUGGGGAAUUCUUAAACACACACUGAAGCUAAUAUCCUCCAGAAAUGCAAGUUUGAUUUGGGGAACCUUAAAGUAUGAGAAUGGAAUUUGUGAAUAAGACCGAACAAUUCAAAUUCGAUGAAAUUAAUAAAAGUGACCAACGAGAUCCUUCGAACGCUCAAGAAAACAUGCUUUAGAAUAGAAGAUCAUAGCAAUGCCACAACAUAACUGACGAGAAUGUUAAACCAUGUGACUACGAGUUUAGAACAAGAUAGGAGAGUCGACUAAAAGGGUAAAAUCCUAAAUUGUAUUCAAAAUAAAGCAAGAAUAAUAAGGAAGAUGUUCAUCAUUUUUAGUUAGAAACUUAAUUGCACUAAAAGGUAAAGGACAAAAUCUGAACAAGCAGAUUAAGAACCCCCUUUUUUAAUUGAAAAUCCACCAAGACGACCAAACAGAGUUUUAACAGAAAUAAGGGCCAUGUAGUGUGCCUUUUCAAGAGCAACAAACAGGGACUCAUACAUCAAAGAUUCCAACUUCAGGCUCUUCUCCGUACUCCAAUUUAAGGCUGAAAUAGAAGGACCAAAAGAUAAAAAGUUUUGAGCGAAUGAAUUAAUUAAAGCCGUUAGAUUAGAUUGUAGGGCCGAGAUUUAAGCUAAAGAAGCACAAUUCAUGUGCCCGCCUACAUGGCAUACACGGAUUGACCGAUUUAAAGAGAUAUGAAUUGCCAAGUUUUACUCCAAUUAAAUAAUUUAAAACGUAACCCUUGUCUUUAUUAACUAGCCAUAAUUUAUUAAAUUAGAAAUAAUUAUUUUGCAAGAUUAGCUUAUUUGAUAAA
rnacentral:lncRNA from 1 species